rnacentral:rRNA from 1 species
CGGGAGGCAGCAGUUAGGAAUCUUCCACAAUGGGCGCAAGCCUGAUGGAGCGACACUGCAUGAGGGACGAAGGCCUUCGGGUCGUAAACCUCUGAACCAGGGACGAUAAUGACGGUACCUGGGUAAUAGCACCGGCUAACUCCGUGCCAGCAGCCGCGGUAAUACGGAGGGUGCGAGCGUUAUCCGGAAUCACUGGGCGUAAAGGGCGCGUAGGCGGUCUGUUAAGUCCGAUGUUAAAGACCGGGGCUCAACCCCGGCACGGCGUUGGAUACUGGCAGGUUAGACGGCUGGAGAGGAAAGUGGAAUUACCAGUGUAGCGGUGGAAUGCGUAGAUACUGGUAGGAACACCCAUUGCGAAGGCAGCUUUCUGGACAGCCCGUGACGCUGAGGCGCGAAAGUGUGGGGAGCAAACCGGAUUAGAUACCCGGGUAGUCCACACCCUAAAC